CUGUGAGCUCGAUGAGUAGGGCGGGACACGUGGUAUCCUGUCUGAAUAUGGGGGGACCAUCCUCCAAGGCUAAAUACUCCUGACUGACCGAUAGUGAACCAGUACCGUGAGGGAAAGGCGAAAAGAACCCCGGCGAGGGGAGUGAAAAAGAACCUGAAACCGUGUACGUACAAGCAGUGGGAGCACAGAGCAAUCUGUGUGACUGCGUACCUUUUGUAUAAUGGGUCAGCGACUUAUAUUCUGUAGCAAGGUUAACCGAAUAGGGGAGCCGAAGGGAAACCGAGUCUUAACUGGGCGUUAAGUUGCAGGGUAUAGACCCGAAACCCGGUGAUCUAGCCAUGGGCAGGUUGAAGGUUGGGUAACACUAACUGGAGGACCGAACCGACUAAUGUUGAAAAAUUAGCGGAUGACUUGUGGCUGGGGGUGAAAGGCCAAUCAAACCGGGAGAUAGCUGGUUCUCCCCGAAAGCUAUUUAGGUAGCGCCUCGUGAAUUCAUCUCCGGGGGUAGAGCACUGUUUCGGCAAGGGGGUCAUCCCGACUUACCAACCCGAUGCAAACUGCGAAUACCGGAGAAUGUUAUCACGGGAGACACACGGCGGGUGCUAACGUCCGUCGUGAAGAGGGAAACAACCCAGACCGCCAGCUAAGGUCCCAAAGUCAUGGUUAAGUGGGAAACGAUGUGGGAAGGCCCAGACAGCCAGGAUGUUGGCUUAGAAGCAGCCAUCAUUUAAAGAAAGCGUAAUAGCUCACUGGUCGAGUCGGCCUGCGCGGAAGAUGUAACGGGGCUAAACCAUGCACCGAAGCUGCGGCAGCGACGCUUAUGCGUUGUUGGGUAGGGGAGCGUUCUGUAAGCCUGCGAAGGUGUGCUGUGAGGCAUGCUGGAGGUAUCAGAAGUGCGAAUGCUGACAUAAGUAACGAUAAAGCGGGUGAAAAGCCCGCUCGCCGGAAGACCAAGGGUUCCUGUCCAACGUUAAUCGGGGCAGGGUGAGUCGACCCCUAAGGCGAGGCCGAAAGGCGUAGUCGAUGGGAAACAGGUUAAUAUUCCUGUACUUGGUGUUACUGCGAAGGGGGGACGGAGAAGGCUAUGUUGGCCGGGCGACGGUUGUCCCGGUUUAAGCGUGUAGGCUGGUUUUCCAGGCAAAUCCGGAAAAUCAAGGCUGAGGCGUGAUGACGAGGCACUACGGUGCUGAAGCAACAAAUGCCCUGCUUCCAGGAAAAGCCUCUAAGCAUCAGGUAACAUCAAAUCGUACCCCAAACCGACACAGGUGGUCAGGUAGAGAAUACCAAGGCGCUUGAGAGAACUCGGGUGAAGGAACUAGGCAAAAUGGUGCCGUAACUUCGGGAGAAGGCACGCUGAUAUGUAGGUGAAGUCCCUCGCGGAUGGAGCUGAAAUCAGUCGAAGAUACCAGCUGGCUGCAACUGUUUAUUAAAAACACAGCACUGUGCAAACACGAAAGUGGACGUAUACGGUGUGACGCCUGCCCGGUGCCGGAAGGUUAAUUGAUGGGGUCAGCGCAAGCGAAGCUCUUGAUCGAAGCCCCGGUAAACGGCGGCCGUAACUAUAACGGUCCUAAGGUAGCGAAAUUCCUUGUCGGGUAAGUUCCGACCUGCACGAAUGGCGUAAUGAUGGCCAGGCUGUCUCCACCCGAGACUCAGUGAAAUUGAACUCGCUGUGAAGAUGCAGUGUACCCGCGGCAAGACGGAAAGACCCCGUGAACCUUUACUAUAGCUUGACACUGAACAUUGAGCCUUGAUGUGUAGGAUAGGUGGGAGGCUUGGAAGUGUGGACGCCAGUCUGCAUGGAGCCGACCUUGAAAUACCACCCUUUAAUGUUUGAUGUUCUAACGUUGACCCGUAAUCCGGGUUGCGGACAGUGUCUGGUGGGUAGUUUGACUGGGGCGGUCUCCUCCUAAAGAGUAACGGAGGAGCACGAAGGUUGGCUAAUCCUGGUCGGACAUCAGGAGGUUAGUGCAAUGGCAUAAGCCAGCUUGACUGCGAGCGUGACGGCGCGAGCAGGUGCGAAAGCAGGUCAUAGUGAUCCGGUGGUUCUGAAUGGAAGGGCCAUCGCUCAACGGAUAAAAGGUACUCCGGGGAUAACAGGCUGAUACCGCCCAAGAGUUCAUAUCGACGGCGGUGUUUGGCACCUCGAUGUCGGCUCAUCACAUCCUGGGGCUGAAGUAGGUCCCAAGGGUAUGGCUGUUCGCCAUUUAAAGUGGUACGCGAGCUGGGUUUAGAACGUCGUGAGACAGUUCGGUCCCUAUCUGCCGUGGGCGCUGGAGAACUGAGGGGGGCUGCUCCUAGUACGAGAGGACCGGAGUGGACGCAUCACUGGUGUUCGGGUUGUCAUGCCAAUGGCACUGCCCGGUAGCUAAAUGCGGAAGAGAUAAGUGCUGAAAGCAUCUAAGCACGAAACUUGCCCCGAGAUGAGUUCUCCCUGACUCCUUGAGAGUCCUGAAGGAACGUUGAAGACGACGACGUUGAUAGGCCGGGUGUGUAAGCGCAGCGAUGCGUUGAGCUAACCGGUACUAAUGAACCGUGAGGCUUAACCUU
rnacentral:rRNA from 1 species